rnacentral:rRNA from 2 species
GUGAUAUUGAGUCCUACCGCCGCAAAGUCGGUCGAGUCCGGCUACGCCCAGUGUGUACGUUCCAUUUGUUGGCUGUGUUGGCGGUGUGGAAGCGGUGAAACCUUUCAGCCAUGUCUGUGGUGCUUUACCCACAGGUGUAAGCGAGUGUCGGGCGGUGCUGUGCUUUCCCUAUGGUUCGCCGGCUCGUUUGCAUGGGUGCGGAUGCCCUUCAAAAGGUGUCUGUCCCCGGAUGGCACGUUUACUUUGAACAAAUUUGAGUGCUCAAACCAGGCCAUCGCUGCCUGAAAAUUUUUGCAUCCAAUAAUGGAAUAGGACUUCGGUUCUAUUUUGUUGGUUUUCGGAUCCGAAGUAAUGAUCAAAAGAGACAGGCGGCCACGUUUGUAUGGUUGCGCUAGAGGUGAAAUUCAUGGACCGUAGCCAGACAAACAAAAGCGAAAGCAUUCGUCAAGCAUGAAUUCAUUGACCAUGAGCGAAAGUCAGAGGCUCGAAGACGAUCAGAUACCGUCCUAGUUCUGACCAUAUUCGAUGCCAACUGACGAUCCGUGGUGGUAGUAAAUUAACCUUCCUCACGCCCAGUCACCGGGAAACCUUUAAGUCUUUGGGUUCCGGGGCUUGUAUGGUUGCAAAGCUGAAACUUAAAGGAAUUGACGGAAGGGCACCACCAGGACAGGAGCCUGCGGCUUAAUUUGACUCAACACGGGAAAACUCACCCGGGCCGGACACUGUUUGGAUUGACAGAUUGAUAGCUCUUUCUUGAUUCGGUGGUUGGUGGUGCAUGGCCGUUCUUAGUUGGUGGAGCGAAAUGUCUGGUUAAUUCCGAUAACGAACGAGACUCUAGCC